AAAGAACGACCACAACACAGGAUUCUGAUCAAGUAGCAAACUUUGUGUUUCUCAGGCUGGCUUGUAUAAACAGUAAAGCAGAAUAUGGGAAGGGGUAGAAUGGGUUGUUUGUGCACAAGGUGUGACUUUAGGAAGAAUAUUUGGAAGCCACAAAGAGGAUGUUUGGCAGUGUAAAGAUUUCAUGAGUAAGAGGCCCAGGAAGGGUUGCCUAGGUGAGUGAGCCUGUGGGUGGAGGACUGGGUCAAGUUGUUUCUUGUGAUGAGCUGAGGUUUUAAGGAGCUGCUAUGUAAAGGUCAAUAUACAACUAUGUGGCUGGCAAAGCAUGGCCUAGGAUCUUAUGCCAAGCCUUGAGAUCUUUGACUCCCAACAUAUUCCCCCUUCCUUGUAUAAAAGGCAGUGUCCAAAUUUUUCAGCAGAGGGGGAUAGAGGCCCGGAGCCCAAUAGGAGUAUCUAUGUGGGUUUUAUAAAGGACAUUUUUCUCUGAUCUCAGGGAUGGCUUCUUGGAGACAUCUGAAAGGCAGGACUGUACAGAUGCCUUUUGUGGAGGUGGGGAAGCUUUAGGAUAUCAACCCCAUAGCUCACAGGGAUAUUCCUCAGAAGACGAGGUCUCCUUGCAGUACCAUCCAGGUCUGCACCUCCGAAGCUGGCCAUGGGGAAGUGGGUUAAUUCCUCUUUGGAGGGAACAGCCCAAGAAGGUUUAUAUUAAAGUGGCCAAAGUCAUCCUUGGAGGAGGAGAGCUUAAGUGUUGGACCAGGACAGGCUUAGUUGCAGAGUCCACUUGUUGCUUGACAAAGGCCACAAGUCAAUUAAAGGAGAUUAGCAAGAGGAGCCCUAUCAGUGGUCCAAGGAUGGAAGGGAUGAGGGUGGUUCACCAGGGGGAAGUGGUAGGAAUUGGUAGAAAGAAGCAAAAAGGAGUAACAGGAGAUUAUUUUCCCAUAAGAGAAAAUCCAGCCAAGCUGAUGGUUGAGGCUUGGUCAUUGGGGUCAUUUUCAGGGGAGGUGUAGAAUGGGUUGUUCGGGACCUGGAAGGAAAGAAGGAGAGGAUUCUCCUCUAGAGAGGGCACGAGUGUCAGGGUUUACAUCUCCCGCGUUCUCCUCCCUGGAGGAGGCUUCAGCUGAAGGUCUAUGGACUUGAUUACUGCUAUGAAAUGAAAGCAGAAACACAAUGGUUUGGAUGAGGCAUGACUUAAGAAAGACGGGGUGACUAUGUACUCCCUCAUAUGUGGAUUUCAAACAGAGUAAAGGAUUACCAGCCUACAAUCCACACUGUCUGAGAAGCUGGUAAACAAGGAGGACCCUAAGUGAGACAUUCAUGGUCCCCUGGAGAAGGGGAAAGGGUGAAGAUCCCCUGAGCAAAUUGAGAGAACGGGAAGGGGGGGAGCUAGGAGAAUGAGAAGGGAAGAAGAGGAAGGAUGCAGAGGUCAUGAGGGAGCAGAAAGGUUAAGUCAGGGGGAGAAUAGAAGAAAGGUUAUGUAAUAGGUAGGAUUGUAGGUGGGGAGUGGUAGGGGAGGACAGGAGGAAAAAGAGAACUGGGAAUGUCAUAUAAAUAAAUCUUGAUUCUAAUUCAAAUAAAAAAGUUUAAUAAAAAGAAAG
ensembl:lncRNA